CCCUGAUCCACGCACUGCCUUCAUGAGAGAGCACUAGGAAUGCAAGUACCUUCGUACGCAUGAUAACUACAGUGAUCUUCCUACUGAGAAAGCCUGCUUUCCAGGCCUUCCUCCGUGGAGGUGCAUCUUUCUCCCUUGCACUUCAUCUGCAGGCUUUGAGCGGUGAAGUUCUCCGUGGUUUCCUGUACCGCUCUCCUCGGCACAGAACUGGAGCAGCUUCCAGCACUGCCUCAGACAGAACGCCUGACAUCUGUCGUGGGGGCUCGGGCUCUCUUUUCCUCUCCCCGUGGAGAGAUGCAUGUGCGAUGUGUGCAGUGAAGUGACUUGUUUCGGAAUGGAUACAGAAAUCUGGUGCAUGCUACUGGCUGGCUGCCUUCAUUCAGAGCACAAGUGGCUGUACUUGCCUAGGAACAAAAUGUAAAAUCUUUCAGCCACAGAAGACCAAGAAACAGGUGGAAGUCUUCUCAGAGCACGGUCAUUUCUUGUACAGAACGCUUCCAUUAGAAGCUAGAGAUUUCUCUCUAUCAGCUAACCCAUUGGCACACUGUACUCCAGCUAAUGACAAAGCAUUUUCAUCCCAGCUUCCUGUGAAUCUCUUCUGUCACUGUGCUACACUCCACCACCAGCAGCUUCCAAUGCAGCAGCAGAUACAUUUUUAAGGAAGCAGUGCUAACUGUUCAUAUGUCAGCACUUUUUAUGCCUACCUGAGCAGACACAGAAGUAUCUUUGUCAAUAUUCUACCCUUCAUUAUAAAGCCUCUGCUAAAAGCUCGGUCUUGCUGUUCUGCUGAAGGGUUACCAAAAGUGUGCAGAGCAACCAACUGAAAUACCAGGGGAAGUGCAUUAAACGCUUCACACUGAACUGGCCUAAAGACACCUGACUGCCAUUGCAGAGAUUUCCUUCUGUGUAGUAAAUCCAGUGCAUGUCUGAUCAGUGGAACUAUGACAAUUUACCCCAAAAGAAUAUUUGGCCAAGAUAGGGUAUCUGAGAUGAAGACAUUAUAGAGAGAGGAAGCUUGUACACAGAUGCACCCUGCUUCCAGCCACCCUGUUUUUGGCUGGCCUUUACACCCUCGAUAUCCAGGGUGUAUCUGCAGCAAGGAUGACCGGCGUAUGAGGUUGCCAUGUCCCCAGGACCAGGUUGUCCUGCAGUACAGUGGUGCUGGGCAGAGGCUGACACCCUUUUCUGAGGCAUGGAAAUCUCUAAUUUUCAACUUUCCUUGUUAUCUCCUAGUGGUACUAUAUGGUAUGAAAGGAGGGCUGCAUAUGGUGCAGGCAGGAGAGCUGCUUUGUGACUCAAGGUGAAGCAGUAUAUCCAAGAGAAAUAAAUGCAUUGACUGAACUGUUCAUAGAGAUGAGGAAAUCCUUGUAUUGUCCAGAGCACAAAUGGAGCGGGGAGGUCACCGUAACAUUCAUCUUGGAGGAUGUUUCAUGAGUGGAGAUUCUUGGUGGUGAAAAGCAUGUGAGCUUCUCUUCUCUCAGGGAUUUCUUUUACAUAUUCUUUUCUCCUGCCUCUUGAACUCAUCCUCAUCUUGACGUAGCCGAUCUGCAUGUUCUGAUGAUUUUUUUUAAACUGCAAUAGCAAUGACAAAAAAGUAAAAUAAAAAAUCUGCACUGUGAUAAUGGGAAAAAAUAUCCAAAAGGAAGAGUUUGAUAGGAAAGGAUUGCUUUCAGGAAGCAGGUGUUUUUCUAUAACGUGGUUUUCUUUGAUUUUUUAAAAGUCAACUCUCUUCCCCGUGGGAAGGAGACUGCAGAAGCAUGCCUGUCUGCUGCAGCACUGCCUGGAUGCCUCAUGUAGGACUUGCUCACACUGGGGACACGAUCCCAUUUGCAGUGGUAUUAAGUAGAUGAACUUCUCGGAGCGGUACAAGAGUCUUUAUAUGCAACAGCUUUUCCCCUCUCUCCUCCCGAUUUAGAAAAAAAUCCUUUGUCAGGACUCCUUUGAGCCUGAGCACAGUUCCCUUUGGAAGAUGAUGGUUUGCAUUUGAAACUACUGCCAACAGCUUUAUCUAUCUCUAAGGAUUGGUGUGUGGGGCGGGUCAUAGCUAUGGAGGCCUUCCGGUAAUAAGGAGCAUCUGUAUAGCAUUAUGGAAAUCACUGGAAAUACAAUGGAGGCAGAGAGAUAAUGUCUGUCAGCUCUUAACCAGGACAGAAUUGUACUUCCUAUGCAAUAAGAUACAGAUAGCUGAAUUUGGAGGUUUUUUUUUUUUUUGAUUGUAUGUUUCUACCAUAAAUUGACUUCUCCUUAUAACAGCCUCCUGCUAGGAUGCUGCAGCCCUAAAUAUCUUCUUUCUUGUAUACUUAAGCUACAGUGUGCCCCAGUGUCUAGUAUGGAUUGCAUUCUGACCUAGCACAGGCAGAUGUAAAGUUAGCAGAGUUAUAGCCUUUAGGCUGGACCUGGCUUUGGCCCCAUGCCUGCCCUGCUCCCUUGCCAAAGCAGCAUUUACCAUUUCUGGUAUUUAUUUAUUUUUCUCUCCUGGCCUCUGAUAAACAUCCUUCUCUAUGAUGCAGUAUUUGUCUCUUGUUCUCUUGCACUGGUACACAAACAAAUUCAUGAACAACCCACUGACGAAGUCCUGAUGGUAGAAGGGGUGAUGAUGAAUUGGGAGCAAUUAUAGCAGGUAUUGUACGUGUCCUACAGCUGACGCCAAACUUCCCUUCCAAUGCCAGUUGCCUCCUAUCAUCUGGUAAAUGGAUUGGAUGUGGGCUUCUCCCAAUUAAAGCCAGUGAGGUCAUAUACUUCCUAAUUACAAGCUAGCCCAUUGUGUCUAAAUGUGACAGACAUGUGCUUGGAAAAUUGCUUUUAAUGCCUAAAUAAACAUGAUGAACUAAAUGGCAGAUUUCAAUCAUAAUUGGAAGUGCUCAGCCUCUUGAAUUUUGCUCUGACUUUCUGAUAGCCACUUGUACUGCCCACCACCCUCGUCUGGGGACAUUGUGUUCUUGGCAUCGCAUUGCUAUUGUGGGUCCUCGCCCUCUCCCUUUCUCUGGGACAUUUCUGUAGCAUAUGCAGCAUGGUCACACAAUGGGGAGCAGUACCUCCCUCCUACAAGAGGAGGAGAGGGCUGUGGAAGGACAGACGAGUCGAGUUUACACCUGCAGUGGAUGAGUGACCAGGUCUGGUCCAAUACACACAGAGCAACACUACGCGGGAUGGUUAAAUACAGAAAUUCUGCAUGUUACUCAGAAAUCAUAAAGGGACUGCUGGCAUUCUUGGGACUGGGAGGUGCUUCUACGUGGACAAACUGCUCACAGUUACUUAGGGAAAAAUCCAGACUGUUUCCAGACAGACAAAAAGAGUGGCUCUGAAUUCAGACCCCUAGCGUGACAUCAAUCUCCUGUGCUACAAGUUUGAAGAACAGAGGAUAAAACCUGAGUCGAUAUUCAGGAACAGGCUUUCAGGAGUGUAUGUAUGUAAAAUAAUACACUUAUGUUAGGCCAAAGGCAAUUUAAGUAUUACAUUUUAUUUCACACUGAAGGCAAAAUGCUGUUUCCCAGGCAGCUUGCUAUUGCUUGCAUAUGUAUUAGUUUCUAUUGGUAGUAUUUCCUGCAGAAUUAUCUAAACUGACUAA
ensembl:lncRNA